AUAGGAGCAUUCCGUCCCGAAAGCUUUCGGGAGGCCGGAUACUUCACCUGGAAUGAAGAGGCUGCAGGUUCGAAUCCUGUCUCCUAUA
rnacentral:tRNA from 1 species